rnacentral:rRNA from 1 species
UACGAAGGGGGCUAGCGUUGUUCGGAAUCACUGGGCGUAAAGGGCGCGUAGGCGGUCGUUCAAGUCGGGGGUGAAAGCCUGUGGCUCAACCACAGAAUUGCCUUCGAUACUGCCGGGCUAGAGUCCGGAAGAGGUGAGUGGAAUUCCUGGUGUAGCGGUGAAAUGCGCAGAUAUCAGGAGGAACACCGAUGGCGAAGGCAGCUCACUGGGACGGUACUGACGCUGAGACGCGAAAGCGUGGGGAGCAAACAGG